GGGGGGCGGGAACGGGAACGGGGUGGCUGAGGGCUCGGGUGCGGGCCCGGAGAGGUGCGCAGGGGGCUGGGGCGGGGAGACCCGGCUGAGGCGGAGCAUCUGUGGCCGAACGGGCGUGGAGGAACUCUUCAUGGAGAGACUACAUCCAUACUAAUGGUGCAGAGUACCUCUUCCAUCCUGCUGUGUGAAGAUAGAAAUAGCAGCUUGGGACUCAGUUUCUUACAACAGCCAUGCCUGUCUCAUCUCCCAAGGGUUGCUCUUAACUUACUGCAAACUCCAUCCUGUAGAAAGCUGUAUGAUCCUGAAAAGAAUUAACCCAAACCCCAGGUCUUGAUGAUGGCUCUACAUUCAUUUCUCUCUUCCUGUGGAGAAGGAAGCUUCUACAAGGAGUAUAUCCUGAGGAGUAUCGUUAUGGUGGAUUUCUCCUAACAGGAGAAGCAAUGUGGUUUCUCUAAGGAAGUGGGGAAAGCAACUCAGUUGCCAAUGCACUCAUUUUUUAAGUGUCUGGAUGAGUUGUGAAUGUGGCUUAGGUUCACUAAAUGAUUUUUAAAAGACUUCAGUCAAGUUCUGACAGUAACAUAUUGGCCAACUCCAUCCAGGGCUGUUGUUAAUGUUGAUGUAAUUGUAUUAAGCCACAGAACAAAGCAUCCUGAAUGUAUACAUGAUUUGUGCCUGUAUAGAAGUCACAAAUUGGUAUGUAAGUCUGAAGGUUGGUUUAAUAAAGUUGCUAUUCCCUAAAAAA